rnacentral:rRNA from 1 species
CCUACGGGGGGCAGCAGUGGGGGAUAUUGCACAAUGGGGGGAACCCUGAUGCAGCGACGCCGCGUGGGUGAAGAAGCGCCUCGGCGCGUAAAGCCCUGUCAGCAGGGAAGAAAAUGACGGUACCUGACGAAGAAGCCCCGGCUAACUACGUGCCAGCAGCCGCGGUAAUACGUAGGGGGCAAGCGUUCUCCGGAUUUAAUGGGUGUAAAGGGGGCGCAGACGGCGAUGCAAGCCAGGAGUGAAAGCCCGGGGCCAAAACCCGGGACUGCGCUUGAAACUGCGUGGCUGGAGUGCAGGAGGGGCAGGCGGAAGGCCUGGUGUAGCGGUGAAAUGCGUAGAUAUCAGGCGGAACACCGGUGGCGAAGGCGGCCUGCUGGACUGCAACUGACGUUGAGGCCCGAAAGCGUGGGGAGCAAACAGGAUUAGAUACCCGAGUAGUC